rnacentral:tRNA from 1 species
GAAGGCAUCCGUAUCCGGUGGUGCGGCUGGACUUCAAAUCCAGUAGGGGGCGUCAGACGCUCCUUGGUAGGUUCGACUCCUGCUGCCUUCCGCCA